UGUGGUAGUAAGUCUCACCCGGUUGGAACCAUGCUGCAGGGUUUAAGCAUUGCUAUCAUUUCCUUUUUACUGGUGCCAGUUACAUCGUUUUCUUUGGAACAGGAUAAAGCAACACUUACAAAAGGCUCUGGCAAAACUGCUCGUAUCGCCUGCAAAUACAAAGGCUCAGGCUUUGACUCUGCUAUUAUCCACUGGUACCAGAAAAAAGAAAACGAAGCGAUGAGACGGAUUCUUUAUAUCCAAAGUGUUGGUGGUACACCUACUUAUGACAAUGUCAACGACAAAGAAGUUUUCAAAGCUAGCAAAAACAGCAACUCUGAGAGCGAACUCAUGAUAGUUGGUGCACAGAGCAGCCAUUCUGCCACCUAUUACUGUGCCUGCUGGGACACCCACAGUGAAAAAUGUGCCGUAGACUGUCUGUACAAAAACUCCAGCCUGACUCUCAGAGGCAGUACUUUUAAUAAGUUCUAGAAACAUCAAUACUUUUUUUCCAGAAAAUAUUAUUACAUGAAUGUUAUACUAUUGUUGCAGAUGAUAAAGGCCAAUGCAAUUCA